rnacentral:rRNA from 1 species
CAAAGUUAAUAAGGGCGCACGGUGGAUGCCUUGGCAUUAAGAGCCGAAGAAGGACGUGACUAACGACGAUAUUCUAGGGGGAGCAGUAAGUACGCAUUGAUCCCUAGGUCUCCGAAUGGGGAAACCCACUAUGUUAUGCAUAGUAUCCGUAAGUGAAUACAUAGCUUACGCGAAGGUAACGCAGAGAACUGAAACAUCUAAGUACCUGCAGGAAGAGAAAGUAAAAACGAUUUCCUAAGUAGCGGCGAGCGAACGGGAAACAGGCCAAACCAAGAAGCUUGCUUCUUGGGGUUGUAGGACUGCAACGUGGACUUAAAGUCUAUAGAAGAAUUACCUGGGAAGGUAAGCCAAAGAGAGUAAUAGCCUCGUAUUUGAAAUAGACUUUAUACCUAGCAGUAUCCUGAGUAGGGCUGGACACGCGAAAUCCAGUUUGAAUCCGGGAGGACCAUCUCCCAAGCCUAAAUACUCCUUAAUGACCGAUAGUGAACCAGUACCGUGAGGGAAAGGUGAAAAGAACCCCGGGAGGGGAGUGAAAUAGCACCUGAAACCGUGUGCCUACAAGAAGUUCGAGCCCGUCAAUGGGUGAGAGCGUGCCUUUUGUAGAAUGAACCGGCGAGUUACGUUAUGAUGCGAGGUUAAGCUGAAGAGGCGGAGCCGUAGCGAAAGCGAGUCUGAAUAGGGCGCUUUAGUAUCAUGAUGUAGACCCGAAACCUAGUGACCUAUCCAUGAGCAGGUUGAAGGUGCGGUAAGACGCACUGGAGGACCGAACCAGGACACGUUGAAAAGUGUUUGGAUGACUUGUGGAUAGCGGAGAAAUUCCAAACGAACUGGGAGAUAGCUGGUUCUCUCCGAAAUAGCUUUAGGGCUAGCGUCGCAAUUUAAGUGUAUUGGAGGUAGAGCACUGUUUGGAUGAGGGGCCCAUCUCGGGUUACCAAUUUCAGAUAAACUCCGAAUGCUAAUACACAUGUGCGGCAGUCAGACUGCGAGUGCUAAGAUCCGUAGUCGAAAGGGAAACAGCCCAGACCACCAGCUAAGGUCCCAAAAUAUAUGUUAAGUGGAAAAGGAUGUGGGGUUGCACAGACAACUAGGAUGUUAGCUCAGAAGCAGCUAUCAUUCAAAGAGUGCGUAAUAGCUCACUAGUCGAGUGACCCUGCGCCGAAAAUGUACCGGGGCUAAACAUAUUACCGAAGCUGUGGAUUUAAUAUUAAUUAAAUAGUAGGAGAGCGUUGUAAUCAGCGAUGAAGGUAUACCGUGAGGGGUGCUGGAGCGAUUACAAGUGAGAAUGCCGGUAUGAGUAGCGCAAGAUAAGUGAGAAUCUUAUCCACCGUAAGACUAAGGUUUCCAGGGGAAGGCUCGUCCGCCCUGGGUUAGUCGGGACCUAAGGCGAGGCCGAAAGGCGUAGUCGAUGGACAACAGGUUGAUAUUCCUGUACUAGUAUUGUUAGUGAUGGAGGGACGCAGUAGGCUAAAGGGAGCCAGUUAAUGGAUUCUGGUCUAAGCAGUGAGGUGUGGAAUGUGUCAAAUGCAUUUUCCUUUAACAUUGAGCUGUGAUGGGGAAGCAACUACGGUUGCGAAGCCCUUGAUGUCACACUGCCAAGAAAAUCUUCUAGCGUUUAAUUCAAUACUACCCGUACCGCAAACCGACACAGGUAGUCGAGGCGAGUAGCCUCAGGUGAUCGAGAGAACUCUCGUUAAGGAACUCGGCAAAAUGACCCCGUAACUUCGGGAGAAGGGGUGCUGUAGAAAUACAGCCGCAGUGAAAAGAUCCAAGCAACUGUUUAUCAAAAACACAGCUCUCUGCUAAACCGCAAGGUGAUGUAUAGGGGGUGACGCCUGCCCGGUGCUGGAAGGUUAAGAGGAGGGGUUAGACAUUAGUCGAAGCUCUGAAUUGAAGCCCCAGUAAACGGCGGCCGUAACUAUAACGGUCCUAAGGUAGCGAAAUUCCUUGUCGGGUAAGUUCCGACCCGCACGAAAGGCGUAAUGAUUUGGAUACUGUCUCAACGAGAGACUCGGUGAAAUUUUAGUACCUGUGAAGAUGCAGGUUACCCGCGACAGGACGGAAAGACCCCAUGGAGCUUUACUGCAGAUUGAUAUUGAGUACCUGUGAAGCAUGUACAGGAUAGGUAGGAGACUUUGACCUUGGGACGCUAGUUUCAAGUGAGUCGCUGUUGGGAUACUACCCUUGCUUCAUGGUUGCUCUAACCCACACGCAUAAUCGGCGUGGGAGACAGUGUCUGUCGGGCAGUUUGACUGGGGCGGUCGCCUCCUAAAGAGUAACGGAGGCGCCCAAAGGUUCCCUCAACAUGGUUGGAAAUCAUGUGUAGAGUGUAAAGGUAUAAGGGAGCUUGACUGCGAGAGCUACAACUCGAGCAGGUAGGAAACUAGGGCUUAGUGAUCCGGUGGUACCGCAUGGAAGGGCCAUCGCUCAACGGAUAAAAGCUACCCUGGGGAUAACAGGCUUAUCUCCCCCAAGAGUUCACAUCGACGGGGAGGUUUGGCACCUCGAUGUCGGCUCGUCGCAUCCUGGGGCUGUAGUCGGUCCCAAGGGUUGGGCUGUUCGCCCAUUAAAGCGGCACGCGAGCUGGGUUCAGAACGUCGUGAGACAGUUCGGUCCCUAUCCGUCGCGGGCGUAGGAAAUUUGAGAGGAUCUGCCCUUAGUACGAGAGGACCGGGGUGGACUUACC